UACAGAGGUCUCAAGCGUUGUUCGGAUUCAUUGGGCGUAAAGGGUGCGUAGGCGGCGCGGUAAGUCGGGUGUGAAAUCUCGGAGCUUAACUCCGAAACUGCAUUCGAUACUGCCGUGCUUGAGGGCUGGAGAGGAGACUGGAAUUUACGGUGUAGCGGUGAAAUGCGUAGAUAUCGUAAGGAAGACCAGUGGCGAAGGCGGGUCUCUGGACAGUUC
rnacentral:rRNA from 1 species